rnacentral:lncRNA from 1 species
UACAAGGGUCGCAGACAUUCAGAUCAUGGCAGGACUGUCAUAGAUGUUACUUUGUGAAGACACAAAGAACAAUGUGAUUGGAGAGAUCAGUCUUCAAUUAGCUGUAUUUUCUAGGAGGCUACCUUUACUUAGCCUCGCAACAUGGGCCGUUGCUUUGGCACUAAAUCUGCACAAACACCUGGCUUAAGUGUUAUGACAGACUGACUAUUCAACCAAACCAUACAAAUGACCAUUUCCGUACGAAAGCGUGAACUUCAGUGUUGAACUGAAUCAACCAACCUCCUCAAUCCAAAUGGCUAGAAUGCCCAGUAGGAGUGCAGACUGGAGGAUCGGCUGUCUUUUGAACUGGAGACAUCACAGGAAACUGGGGAGGCUCCAAAUUGCUAACCUGAGGCCGGAGCAAAAACUUUUUCGUCGAAGGGACUGCUUUUUUUAUUUCCCCUUCAACGGAUGGCAUCCCAAGUCCUGCUGGAUUGCAUCUGUCUUUGUUCCUGCAGCCAAGCCUUAUGGCUGGCUCACACUCUGCCACGCUCAUAACCUCACACUAGAAAGGAUAUUACAAAGAGGGGCAAACACCCUAGAGGGUUCCCCUUUAUCAGAACCUUCCCUGUCAGUGGGCUCCUCAUUUCCCGAGCCCUCGUCUGAUUAUUAGUGUACUGACGGAAUAAAA